rnacentral:rRNA from 1 species
CCUACGGGAGGCAGCAGUGAGGAAUAUUGCACAAUGGGGGAAACCCUGAUGCAGCGACGCCGCGUGAGUGAAGCAGUAUUUCGGUAUGUAAAGCUCUAUCAGCAGGGAAGAAAAUGACGGUACCUGAUUAAGAAGCCCCGGCUAACUACGUGCCAGCAGCCGCGGUAAUACGUAGGGGGCAAGCGUUAUCCGGAUUUACUGGGUGUAAAGGGAGCGUAGACGGCAGCACAAGUCUGGAGUGAAAUGCCGGGGCUUAACCCCGGAACUGCUUUGGAAACUGUGCAGCUAGAGUGCAGGAGAGGUAAGUGGAAUUCCUAGUGUAGCGGUGGAAUGCGUAGAUAUUAGGAGGAACACCAGUGGCGAAGGCGGCUUACUGGACUGUAACUGACGUUGAGGCUCGAAAGCGUGGGGAGCAAACAGGAUUAGAUACCCCAGUAGUC